UUUCAUUCCCUUCACCUUCAAAUAUGCGAACGGAAAUAGGUAAUUCAGGAGUACUUCUUUUGAAAAGCCCGACCCUUGCUUGAUCGUGACACUUGUUAGGACCCUCGAAGGUUACCUUGAUUCCACUAACGAGUCUUGUAUAGAUAAUAUGGUAAAAAGGAAGAAGAUUCCGAGACCCAAAGACGAAUCCAACAACCCCGAAAUUCCAUAAAUUCUU
rnacentral:lncRNA from 1 species